UUAAGUCGGAUUUGAGUCAAGGCCCCACUUGAGUGUAUAAAAGAUUGUUUAUUGUUAUGCGUUCUACCGUGCCAGCCCCGUGCACCCUUGCCUACCACUUUCAAAAGAAGCAGCGCAGAACCAUGGCUGUCUCGCGCACGUAGGGGUGAAGGAUGAUGGUGGGGAAGGGCCUGGAGCAGUGGUGGCCCGGAUAAGUCGUUGGGGUGAGGUGUCUUUCCCCAUCACUCUGACUCUCCUGCUGUCCUGCAUGCACGACUCAAACAGAGUCAUUGAUUGAGGUGCUGGUGAACUGAUCGAAGACUUAAAAAUGUGUUGCUAUAGUGUGAGGUGUG